rnacentral:rRNA from 1 species
GUAGGGUGCGAGCGUUAAUCGGAAUUACUGGGCGUAAAGCGUGCGCAGGCGGUUCGCCAAGUCAGGUGUGAAAUCCCCGGGCUUAACCUGGGAAUUGCGCUUGAAACUAGCGGGCUUGAGUGCGGCAGAGGGGGGUGGAAUUCCACGUGUAGCAGUGAAAUGCGUAGAGAUGUGGAGGAACACCGAUGGCGAAGGCAGCCCCCUGGGUCGACACUGACGCUCAUGCACGAAAGCGUGGGGAGCAAACAGGAUUAGAUACCCUGGUAGUCCACGCCCUAAACGAUGUCGACUAGGUGUUGGGGAAGGAGACUUCCUUAGUACCGCAGCUAACGCGUGAAGUCGACCGCCUGGGGAGUACGGUCGCAAGAUUAAA